rnacentral:tRNA from 1 species
CGGAGCGUAGCGCAGUUGGCUAGCGCACUUGAAUGGGGUUCAAGAGGUCGUGGGUUCAAAUCUCACCGCUCCGA